CUAGAUCGGCAGGCCUCGGUCCUACAAAAGUUUAGUUAACAACUAAAUACCCAAUCCAGCGGGCUUCAACCUAGGAGUAUGA
rnacentral:tRNA from 1 species